rnacentral:misc_RNA from 1 species
UGCUGGCUGUUGGCUGCUGGACAAACUUAAAAAAAAUAACCCUAGCAGCCUAGCUUUAUAUCCAGCGCCUUGCCUCAUUGGGGCGUGCCUCGUGACUCGGUGCGCCUCGGUGAGGUGGUGUGCCUUGGCUGUCCCGAGGCUCCUGGGGCGCCUUGCGCCUGGGGCGCUUCUUUGAUAACAGUGGAAGUGGGCUCUUCAGCUAUAAUUGAAAGAAUCUAGAAAUCCCAUGUCUUAUCCGUCUAUUUGCGCUUUCUUUACCUAUGGUUCAUCCUGUUAAGAAAGCCACUGAUAAUUUCAGAUCCUUGCCCCCUAGGUUGUGGAUUAUGACAAGUUGGGUGCAAAGUUGUCUCUGAUGCUUACAUUGGAAUCAAUAUAACAUACUGGUAACGGGGGAAAUUCUAGCUAGGAAUAUGUUUCAUGUUUUGAUGAAUAUUUUUGUAUAAUGAACCAUGUGGCCUUUACUAGAUACAGUUCAACAAAUUGUUUUUAGACUUCUAGUUUGUGAUCUACGUCAUCACAAAGCAAAUGGCAUUGAGAUGCAUAUAGCAUGCGAACUAAAAUUUGAUCUACUCUAGUUAAAAUUAUCAAAUUAAUAUUUGUUGUUCUGUCUUUUCAUGGCAUGCAUUGCCUAUGAUUCAAGCUGAGAUAGCUUUGCAUGAGGAAUUAUUAUAAAUGGGAGAUGCUCCCAUCUAAUUUGAUAUAUGCACUUUGAUCCUUGUUGGUCCCUAUCCUAUAGCUUGUUGACGAAUCUAAACUUUAGUCUUUGGUUAUAAAGCCAUAGAAUUUUCAUAAAACUUUAAUUUCCAAUAUUUUAAAUUAAACCACACUUUAUUCCUUAAAAAUACUAAAUUUAAUUGCUAAUUUUGAAACAGCAAGAACUAAGGUGUGUUUUGUUACAAACUUCGGGGGGUAUUUGUUAAUUUACCCUGAUAAAUAACUCAUAACUGGCAUUAGCCAUUAAUUGCUCUACCAUUAGCUGAGGCAUUUCAGAAUAAAAGUCUUACAAGAUCCUUUAGGAAAAUAUUAGAAGCUAUGCAUAACGGUGUUUCCUGAAUAAAGGGAACAGAAUGUUUUGUCUUACUGACUUAUGGCUACUUGCUGUCUGCAAAGAAUCAUUCUCAGAAAAUUCAUGCCUAUUUUCUGCUGUCGUGUGCGUGGGCCUUGCUGGUCAAAUUUUACCAGUAGUAAAUGGUGCUUUGCCAUGUCUAUGACACGUGUGAAGGGCUGCUACAUCGUUUGUUAUUAUAGUUGAAUGCCUGGCUAAGCCUGGUUUAACAUUUGACUGCUGGAUAACAAAUUUGCCUGUGUUCCUCUAUAAUGGAUCUACCCCACUUGGUGUUAAAAACAUAUAAGAAAGAUUAAUGAAAUUACUUUCCACAUUUAAGAAAAUUGAGAGAAAUUAAUAUAGGAAAUAGAAAAACUUAAAUAACUUGUGCCCUUUAUGAUGUGUUUUGAUGAAGUGUUGAAAUUAAUUGUUUACAACUUAUUUAGAAAUCAUUUUGCACUUCUAUUGAAACUUCUUUUAUUUAUAUUGCUAUUGAUCUAUCAGAAAGUUUGCCUCAGUAGUUCUACACUUGUGAAAGGCUUUUCUCUUACUCACUAUAUUGAACCAUGUUUUAUAUUCUCUUCAACAUGUUGGUUUGAGUCAGAGUGUAAGAAACUAUUAGAUAGGCAUAUCGAGGUAUUUAUAUCAAUGGCUACCAUUAUUGGGUUUGGGAAGGAGGUGUUCUUGUGGUUCACAUUAGGAUAUCUUUAUAGUUCCUGAUCCAUGAAACUCUAUACUAGAUACAAUAUGGUGGAAUUUUUGAAUUUAGCAGUAUUAUAUUAUUGUGAUCAAGACCCAUUCAGCUGCUCUUAUUAACAGCUUCAUACAUUCUGAGUGAUGAUGUUUAUCACUUAUGUGCUACUUUCUCAGGUUGACAUGGUCAUUGUACCUG